rnacentral:rRNA from 1 species
CUGCAGAGAUGCGGGAGUGCCUUCGGGAACCUGAACACAGGUGCUGCAUGGCUGUCGUCAGCUCGUGUCGUGAGAUGUUGGGUUAAGUCCCGCAACGAGCGCAACCCUUGUCACUAGUUGCUACGAAAGGGCACUCUAGUGAGACUGCCGGUGACAAACCGGAGGAAGGUGGGGAUGACGUCAAGUCCUCAUGGCCCUUAUGACCAGGGCCUCACACGUCAUACAAUGGUCGGUACAGAGGGUAGCCAACCCGCGAGGGGGAGCCAAUCCCAGAAAGCCGAUCGUAGUCCGGAUUGCAGUCUGCAACUCGACUGCAUGAAGUCGGAAUCGCUAGUAAUCGCAGGUCAGCAUACUGCGGUGAUACGUUCCCGGGUCUUGUACACACCGCCCGUCACACCAUGGGAGUGGGUUGCUCCAGAAGUAGUUAGCCUAACCGCAAGGAGGGCGAUUACCACGGAGUGGUUCAUGACUGG